rnacentral:rRNA from 1 species
UACGGAGGGUGCGCGCGUUGUCCGGAAUCAUUGGGCGUAAAGGGCGCGUAGGUGGCCCGGUCAGUCUUUGGUGAAAGCGCGGGGCUCAACCCUGCGUCGGCCAGGGAUACUGCCGCGGCUCGAGCACUGUAGAGGCAGGCGGAAUUCCGGGUGUAGCGGUGGAAUGCGUAGAGAUCCGGAAGAACACCGGUGGCGAAGGCGGCCUGCUGGGCAGUUUGGCUGACACUGAGGCGCGACAGCGUGGGGAGCAAACAGG